ACGGGAUCUAGUGUGAUGGCAGGAUUAAGGCUCAGAUAAAUCUGUAGUGGUUGUAAUGAGAUUUCAAAAUAAAAAAUAAAAUAGGAUUUCCAGAUGAAUAGUCUAGAGCCCCUUGGUACAAUGCACAAACUAUGUCAAAAUCAAUGCCUAAGAUGUCGAGGUCAUUUUAAAAGCCUUCAGAGCCUGUGUGUAUGAGACAUUUUCCCGGUGGCCCCGGGUGCGGGAGAGCCUCCCCUUAACCCCAGUGUUUCCAGCACCGCGCCACGGCGGGGCCCAGGACCGGCCCGGGACAGGAGCGGCGGGGCCAGGCGCGGGGGGCCGCGGCCACCACGAGCCCCGUGACCUUGCCGCGGCCACCGAGGGCCACCCGCGGUCGCCACCAACUUCUCAGCGGCGGAGGCAGCAGCAGCGCAAGUUGGCAGCCGCCGGCUGCUCGCCUCGGGCAGCAGCGGGAGGGCGGCCCGCGCUCUUCUGUUCCCUAAAAAAAAAAAAAAAAAAAAAGGAAAAAAGAAAAGGGAGGAGGAAGGCGGAGGAACGACAGAACGACAGACAGACGGCGGCCGGCUCCAGCUGUGAAAUUUGUUUUGAAGCAGUAGAGUGCUCUUUGCUUACGCAAGUAACUAGUAGAGGAAGGAGCCACAACUGA
rnacentral:lncRNA from 1 species